UACGUAGGGGGCAAGCGUUGUCCGGAUUUAUUGGGCGUAAAGAGCGUGUAGGCGGUUCGGUAGGUCCGUUGUGAAAACUCGAGGCUCAACCUCGAGACGCCGAUGGAAACCAUCGAACUAGAGUCCGGAAGAGGAGAGUGGAAUUCCUGGUGUAGCGGUGAAAUGCGCAGAUAUCAGGAAGAACACCCGUGGCGAAGGCGGCUGCUCUGGUACGUGACUGACGCUGAGGCACGAAGGUCAGGGGAGCAAACGGG
rnacentral:rRNA from 1 species